UUUUCUGAAAGUUUAAGACCAUUAUAUAUCUUGAUGAAAUGUGUUUUCUAGUAUCUAUGUCUUCGCUUGAAUUUUUUUUCAAACAAGAAGACUAAUGAACCACAGCACACAUGGUGGUGGUUUUCGAUUUUAUCUUCCAUGGAUUGAUUGAUUCUUUUUUGACCUUAUCUAUAAAUCAUUUCUGUGGGUUCCUAACCGACAAACUGUUUUUUAACUUGAUAAAUUAUCAUCCAUUUU
rnacentral:lncRNA from 1 species